ACCUAAGCAUGCUGUCAAUCAAUCGACUGCGGAAUUCAGAGAAUAGAGCCCCUCAUGAAUAUAUGCAACAUACCCAUAAAAAAGGAAUCAUUUGCGUACAUCGCCAUUUUAGCGUUGACGCCUGCUUCGACAAGAUAAAGCUAAAAUAGUACGGUAACGGUAUCGCAACGUUAUAAAACGCAUUUACCAUGCCUGGAAAAUCAGGAUGUACCGGGAAUUCGACAGAUGAUUGUGGAUGUAGUGGAAGCAGUUCAAGCAGUCAAGAUAAUAGUUGGUGUUCAUCGUGCAUAAUAUUAAGACGAGAAAAGCGUGGAGCGAUUCCAUUACCAUGACCUAACAGGCAUGGUUCGCAUCCUGUACAAUACUUUAAGAAGGUGUGUUGUUACAUUCAGCUUGUUUCAAAAGCGAAAGUCAUUCUUUGCUAGUGUUUUGCCACCCAAACAUUAGAUACAAGAUAGCGCUGCGCUUCGCAAAUAUACGAUUCACUUACUUUCGAAUUGUUAGCGAAACAAAUCAUUUCACUAGUACAUUUAAUCUCAGUUGUGUCGAUUUUGGAUUCAAGUAUAAUAUCAGAGAUGUAGAAUCUGUCAUCAGUUAUUUCAAAGGCUGAAAGUGUCCUUCUUCGACCAGGAAUUGCUUGCACAGCACAUUUCCAGAGCGUCACUACAAAGCAGCUGAAAGUGAUAUCUGAACACAAAGUUCGCUUUAUUUUCAUGGAAAAUCAUUUACUGUUUCCAAACCACUUCAUAAAAUCACAAUUUUAGCAAAAUAAUAUGGAUUGUCCACCGCAAAUCUUACUUCCUGAUAAAUGUUACAAGAUGGUGCAGUGAUUCCCAUAUUCAUUUUGUCU